rnacentral:tRNA from 1 species
AGCCCGCUAUCGGAGUCGAACCGAUGACCAUCGCAUUACAAG